rnacentral:rRNA from 1 species
UACGAAGGGUGCAAGCGUUACUCGGAAUUACUGGGCGUAAAGCGUGCGUAGGUGGUUUGUUAAGUCUGAUGUGAAAGCCCUGGGCUCAACCUGGGAACGGCAUUGGAAACUGGCUUACUAGAGUGCGGUAGAGGGGUGUGGAAUUCCCGGUGUAGCAGUGAAAUGCGUAGAUAUCGGGAGGAACAUCUGUGGCGAAGGCGGGUCUCUGGACAGUUCCUGACACUGAGGCACGAAGGCCAGGGGAGCAAACUGG